GACGAACGCUGGCGGCGUGCUUAACACAUGCAAGUCUACGAGAACGAGAUAGCAAUAUUUUUAGUAAAGUGGCGCACGGGUGCGUAACGCGUAAGCAAUCUACCUUUGGGUCUGGAAUAACUUCGAGAAAUCGAGGCUAAUACCGGAUAAUGCAGCGGCACCGCAUGGUGAUGUUGUUAAAGUUUGAGUAAUGCCUAUAGAUGAGCUUGCGUCUGAUUAGCUAGUUGGUAGGGUAAAGGCCUACCAAGGCUACGAUCAGUAGCUGGUCUGAGAGGAUGAUCAGCCACACUGGAACUGAGACACGGUCCAGACUCCUACGGGAGGCAGCAGUGAGGAAUAUUGGGCAAUGCCCGAAAGGGUGACCCAGCAACGCCGCGUGGAGGAUGAAGGCCGUAAGGUUGUAAACUCCUGUUAGAGGGGAAGAACAGUGCCGAUUGGAUCGGUAUUUGACUGUACCCUCAGAGAAAGCCCCGGCUAACUACGUGCCAGCAGCCGCGGUAAUACGUAGG
rnacentral:rRNA from 1 species